rnacentral:tRNA from 1 species
AUUACUUUGACAGACACCCAUGUAAUAAAUUUAGAAUUUAUUUAAGUAAAUAAAUUUACAAGUAAUA